UUUUUGUAUUUAAUAUAAAGUCUAAUCUGCCCACUGAUAAUUUAUUAAAGGGCUGCAGUAUUUUGACUGUACAAAGGUAGCAUAAUCAUUUGUCUCUUAAUUGGUGACUAGUAUGAAAGAUUGGAUGAAAUAUAGACUGUCUCAUUAUAAUGAAUAAAAUUUAAUUUUUUAGUAAAAAAGCUAAAAUAGUUUUAAAAGACGAGAAGACCCUAUAGAGUUUAAUAAUUAUUUUUAUAUAGAAUAAAAUCUCAAAAUUUAAAUUUAAAUGAAAGUAAUUAUUUUGUUGGGGUGAUAGAAAAAUUAAAUUAACUUUUUUUAAAGAUAAACAUUAAUAAAUGAAUAAAUGAUCCAUUAAUAAUGAUUAUAAGAAAAAAUUACCUUAGGGAUAACAGCGUAAUUUUUUUUUUUAGACCAAAUAAGAAAAAGAGUUUGCGACCUCGAUGUUGGAUUAAGAUAAAAUUUAAAUGUAAAAGUUUAAAGUUUUGAUCUGUUCGAUCAUUAAAA
rnacentral:rRNA from 1 species